rnacentral:rRNA from 1 species
ACUCCUACGGGAGGCAGCAGUGGGGAAUAUUGGACAAUGGACCAAAAGUCUGAUCCAGCAAUUCUGUGUGUUUGAUGAAGGCCUCGGUUGUAAGAACUUUCUAGUGGGAAGGAAGCAAGUGACGGUACCCGACCAGAAGAAGCGACGGCUAAAUACGUGCCAGCAGCCGCGGUAAUACGUAUGUCGCAAGCGUUAUCCGGAAUUAUUGGGCAUAAAGGGCGUCUAGGCGGUCUAAUAAGUCUGAUGUGAAAAUAGCGGGGCGUCAACUCCGUAAUUGCGUUGGAAACUGUUAGACUAGAGUUUUGGAGAGGUAGGCGGAACUACAAGUGUAGAGGUGAAAUUCGUAGAGAUUUGUAGGAAUGCCGAUGACGAAGGUAGCUUACUGGACAAAUACUGACGCUGAAGCGCGAAAGCUAGGGGAGCGAAACAGGAUUAGAUACCCUGGUAGCGAUGA